GUAUUUGGCAUAGUGGCUAAGAUGCUACCCAGGAUGACCACAUCCCAUACAAGCGUGCCUGUGUUCACUUCUUAUCGCGGCUCUGGAUUCCAGCUUGACGCUAAUGUGCACCUUGGGAGGAAGCAGAGGCAAAGAGAUUAAACCCCUGCUCGCCCUGCACUUAAUGGUGACGAACGAAACAUCAGGAGCUGGACACACCAACGAUGAGCAAGCUCAGGAGCCAGAGCUGCUGGUGCCUCCUCUCCAAAACCAUGUCCAGUUAAACUGCAAAAUAAGAAGUCUCCAUGGCCGCAGACCGAACAGACCAACCCAAGCCUCUGCAAUGCAGCAAACUGAAGAUUACUCUGAGAUCAACUCACAGGACCAGCAGCAAACCUCGCUGGACUAUGGCAUGGGAGCCACAGAGAAAGCAAAACUGUGCAGGAAGGCGCCAGUGUCUGGAGCAGGCAGCAUCCAGGAGAUGCCUGACAGGCUGAGUGAAGGUACAGGAGGUGCAAAAGCAGCCAGGAGAGACUCUGAGAGUGGCAAGCAUCAGCAAGGGUCACCAGCCAGGUCCACCAUGCUCAGGAAAGUGACCAUCUGGGCAUCGAGCCAGUGUGGCUGCAGGUACCCUGAGCAGAGAGAGUUGAACUGGGAGAGAGGUGAAAUGUCCAUCUCAUUGCACCAUAUCCGAGAGUGAAUUCUGUCAACACGACUCAUCACUGGACAGUGUGACUCCAAUGUAUUGAAGAAGAAUUUUGCUUUCUCCAAGCACUUAAUUUUUUCAAGUUCAAGAUUACAAAAUAGAAUGUAAAGCCUCAGGUAUAAAGUCCUGCACAAUUCUGGAUGACUGAGCUUCCUCUGCAAAAAAGCCAUCCUCGUCAAAUGCCAGCCAGCAUCCAAGAUGCCAGCCAAAGCAUCACUGUAUUGGCUCCAUGUGAGGUGCUCUGAAUCCCAAAAU
rnacentral:lncRNA from 1 species